rnacentral:sRNA from 1 species
GAUCGCCAAGAACACUUGGAAAAGACAACAUCCCACUGCCCAACCCAAGGACCAUCAGCAGUUACGUUCACCCAUCGACUUCAGACCCAGAAGCCAGGACAAUUAUGAUCAUGCAGUGGGGUCAGUGGCUGGACCAUGACGUGACUGGAUUCCCAGUUGUAACAGAAGCCAAUGGAGCCAUCAAAUGUUGUGGACCCAAUGGUACUAAACCAAUCGGUGCUGUCAAUCAAAACUGUUUCGCUAUCAUGUUACCAUGUCAUGAGGUUAACUUCGCAGGCAGCUGUAUGGAGUUUGUUCGGUCUGUUGGAGCCACUGAUCAAAAU